rnacentral:rRNA from 1 species
UACGGAGGGUGCAAGCGUUAUCCGGAAUCACUGGGUUUAAAGGGUGCGCAGGCGGCCCGAUAAGUCAGCCGUGAAAUCGCUGGGCUCAACCCAUGCAAUUGCGGUUGAUACUGUCGGGCUUGAAUGGGGUUGAGGCUGGCGGAAUGCGGCAUGUAGCGGUGAAAUGCUUAGAUAUGCCGCAGAACACCGAUUGCGAAGGCAGCCAGCUGGGCCUUUAUUGACGCUGAGGCACGAAAGCGUGGGGAGCAAACAGGAUUAGAUACCCUGGUAGUCCACGCCCUAAACGAUGCUCACUUGCUGUUCCCCUUUCGGGGGGAGUGGCGUAGGGAAACCGGUAAGUGAGCCACCUGGGGAGUACGCCGGCAACGGUGAA